rnacentral:miRNA from 1 species
CAGUAGAUGACUGUCUCAAUUUCCUUAUUGUUGUUUGGUGCUGUUGAGUCGAUUUUGGCUCAUAACAACUUCAUGUGACAAAGGAGAGCUGCCCCAUAGGCUGUAAUCUUUA